AGACAGAGAUGUUUAUUUCUUCGGACUACUUACAAGGUGCUGCAUGGUUGUCGUCAGCUCGUGCCGUGAGGUGUCAGGUUAAGUCCUAUAACGAGCGCAACCCCUGUCGUUAGUUGCCAGCAAGUAAAGUUGGGACUCUAACGAGACUGCCGGUGCAAACCGCGAGGAAGGUGGGGAUGACGUCAAAUCAUCAUGCCCCUUAUGUCCUGGGCUACACACGUGCUACAAUGGGCUGUACAAAGGGUAGCGAAGCCGCGAGGUGGAGCCAAUCCCAUAAAACAGCUCUCAGUUCAGAUCGCAGGCUGCAACUCGCCUGCGUGAAGAUGGAGUUGCUAGUAAUCGUGGAUCAGCAUGCCACGGUGAAUGCGUUCCCGGGCCUU
rnacentral:rRNA from 1 species